CGGGGUGGAGUAAUGUCUGGGAAACUGCCUGAUGGAGGGGGAUAACUGCUGGAAACGGUAGCUAAUACCGCAUAACGUCGCAAGACCAAAGAGGGGGACCUUCGGGCCUCUUGCCAUCGGAUGUGCCCAGAUGGGAUUAGCUAGUAGGUGGGGUAACGGCUCACCUAGGCGACGAUCCCUAGCUGGUCUGAGAGGAUGACCAGCCACACUGGAACUGAGCACGGUCCAG
rnacentral:rRNA from 1 species